rnacentral:rRNA from 1 species
GCGUCGUUUGCGACGCCCAACACACAAAACAAGCGGUGAGUGCUUUGGGGUGGGGUGACUGCGUACCUUUUGUAUAAUGGGUCAGCGACUUAUAUUCUGUAGCAAGGUUAACCGUAUAGGGGAGCCGUAGGGAAACCGAGUCUUAACCGGGCGUUAAGUUGCAGGGUAUAGACCCGAAACCCGGUGAUCUAGCCAUGGGCAGGUUGAAGGUUGGGUAACACUAACUGGAGGACCGCACCGACUAAUGUUGAAAAA